CAAUAAUUAUUUGUCAUGGGUGUUUGAUUCGAAAUCCACUUGAAUGCUAUGAAUCUUGAAGAGACUAUUAAAGAAGGAAAUACGACAUCAAGUCAAGACAAAAUAAAAUGUGAUGCCCCAAAGUUUUAAAAAAGAAAAAAAAAAUAGUUGGUUAAUUUGGGAAAAGGAAGAUGAAAGUAGGGUUAUAAAAAUUGGGGCCUCAGGCAACGUGCAAAGAAAAAAAAAGAUUUCUUUUUCUUUUUUCUUCUUCUUCCUCCUCCUCUAGCCGCAUGCCCGCUUCCCCCUCCCCCCCCUUCUUUUCUAGUUACCGAUCGAGCCUUCUUCUCUGUGCCGUCGCUCGUCAUCAACUAAGUCCCUUCGCCGAUCUUCGUUUCCAUCGUCGACCGCGAGCCACCGAGCUUUCUUCACAAAUCCGUCGUCAGCCGCGCGAGUUCGCCGAUUAUGCUUCUUCUUCGCGAGCUUGUCCGUCCCCCAACACAAACGAAGCCGCCGAACGCUGAAGCAGCGAGUCGCGUCGUUUCCAGCCGUGUUGUCUUCUCCGUCCGCCUGUCACUGGUUUGGGUCGUCGUGGAUCGCGGUGGUUCUGACCGUUCUACUGUUCAGGGAACAUGUGGUGGUGAAGGAAGUUCUCGAGCGGUGUAAGGUCUCAUUUUGGGACAGUUCGUUAGCCUGAGGUAAGAGUAAUGACAGACUGGUGCAUGACAAGAGAGAUCUGUGACCUGGCCAUUAAGACGAUUCACUGCUUCCACAUAUAGUAUCAUAUUUUGAAAUCUGGUUUAGGAGUUAGGCGUCUUGCACUUUUAUGCAAAAUAUAUCAAUUUUAUUAUUUGACUAUUUAAUUUCAUUCAUUUGUUUUUAGUAGGG